AACGAACGCUGGCGGCAUGCCUAACACAUGCAAGUCGAACGAGACCUUCGGGUCUAGUGGCGCACGGGUGCGUAACGCGUGGGAACCUGCCCUUAGGUUCGGAAUAACUCCCCGAAAGGGGUGCUAAUACCGGAUAAUGUCUUCGGACCAAAGAUUUAUCGCCUUUGGAUGGGCCCGCGUUGGAUUAGCUAGUUGGUAGGGUAAAAGCAUACCAAGGCGACGAUCCAUAGCUGGUCUGAGAGGAUGAUCAGCCACACUGGGACUGAGACACGGCCCAGACUCCUACGGGAGGCAGCAGUGGGGAAUAUUGGACAGUGGGCGAAAGCCUGAUCCAGCAAGGCCGCGUGAGUUAUGAAGGCCUUAGGGUUGUAAAGCUCUUUUACCCGGGAUGAUAAUGACAGUACCGGGAGAAUAAGCUCCGGCUAACUCCGUG
rnacentral:rRNA from 1 species